GACGAACGCUGGCGGCGUGCUUAACACAUGCAAGUCGAACGGAAAGGCCCUGCUUUUGUGGGGUGCUCGAGUGGCGAACGGGUGAGUAACACGUGAGUAACCUGCCCUUGACUUUGGGAUAACUUCAGGAAACUGGGGCUAAUACCGGAUAGGAGCUCCUGCUGCAUGGUGGGGGUUGGAAAGUUUCGGCGGUUGGGGAUGGACUCGCGGCUUAUCAGCUUGUUGGUGGGGUAGUGGCUUACCAGGGCUUUGACGGGUAGCCGGCCUGAGAGGGUGACCGGCCACAUUGGGACUGAGAUACGGCCCAGACUCAUACGGGAGGCAGAAGUGGGGAAUAUUGCAAAAUGGGCGGAAGCCUGAUGCAGCAACGCCGCGUGCGGGAUGACGGCCUUCGGGUUGUAAACCGCUUUCGCCUGUGACGAAGCGUGAGUGACGGUAAUGGGUAAAGAAGCACCGGCUAACUACGUG
rnacentral:rRNA from 1 species